rnacentral:rRNA from 1 species
CCUACGGGUGGCAGCAGUGAGGGAUAUUGGUCAAUGGGCGUAAGCCUGAACCAGCCAAGUCGCGUGAGGGAUGAAGGUUCUAUGGACCGUAAACCUCUUUUGUAAGGGAAUAAAGUGCGGGACGUGUCCCGUUUUGUAUGUACCUUAUGAAUAAGGAUCGGCUAACUCCGUGACAGCAGCCGCGGUAAUACGGAGGAUCCGAGCGUUAUCCGGAUUUAUUGGGGUUAAAGGGUGCGCAGGCGGCCUUUGAAGUCAGCAGUGAAAGCCCGUGGCCCAACCAUAGAACUGCCGUUGAAACUGGGAGGCUUGAGUGUGUUUGAGGCAGGCGGAAUGCGUGGUGUAGCGGUGAAAUGCUUAGAUAUCACGCAGAACCCCGAUUGCGAAGGCAGCCUGC